AAAACUAAAGUAUCAUUAUCAUGCGUCUUCCUGUAUUCUCUCAAACAUAGAGAUGUUUACCACCAUGAUAAAGAGACAUAGUCUUGUGGUCCUGAACGCGAGGCAGAUAUUUCUUGUGGUAACUGUAUAUUACCACAGAAGUCGUUGAUGAUCAUCGUGUUCACCCACAAUUAUUAUUUUGUGGGUUUGGGAGGCCACGGAUACCAAACAAUCCGGGUGGU